rnacentral:lncRNA from 1 species
AAGCAAGGGGUAAGGAACAGAAACCACUCUCCAGUCUGAAACUGUAUGGCCUUCAAGGCAGGGAGAGGAAUUACUUACCAUGGCGUGAAGAGAUGUAAUGAGUAAGAUGAUAAAGGCAGAGUUAUGCUGAAUGGAGGAAAAUUUUCCUGUUGUAUGUGUUUUUUUAUGAUAUGCAAAACAACCUCCACAGGAAGGCAAAUGAAACUUUACUAUUUAAGCACUGAAAAAGAGCUGUGACAAGCUCUUACCCAAAUGAACGUGGCACACAUCGGAUCAGACAACUCAUUUUUUAAGUCGCUAUUACCAUUCUGUGGCAAAAGAAAUUUGUAGUAAAACUUGAAGUUAUUUUCAGAAUUCAAUGAGGUGUUUAAAUAGGGCUAUUAAAUUAUAAGUGUUUAAUACACCUAUAAAAUCUAGGUGUUCACCAGGACUGUUAAACACAAGGAGUAGCUGAGGUGCAUUUCAACACCGUGCUGCCAUACAGCAUUCCUGGCCAGGAAUCAGACCAAUAACAACACAUGGUGAGAUCCUCCAGUAAUGCUUGCACAGAACUGCAAAUGUUGUAUCCAGUGCUCCGUGCACAGCCUCUGAAUGUUGAGAUAUGUGCCAUCAGCCCUCCGUGCCCAAUUUUAACUGGUGUGUCUGGAAACAGCUGAGCUGCUGAAGGCACUCACAGGAAGGUGCUCCCACUUGGUUUGGUUUUGCAGCAGUUCUGAGUUCACCUCCCAGGGCUGCAUGAAAGCCUCCUCUUUUGUGCUCGGUGCUUUCAGCCAGAACCAGGAGAUGUUUCUGCUGCAGGGUUCUGCUGUGAUGACUCUGGUUGCUGCACCUGCCCUUGCUGUAAUUAGCCCAGCUGGGGGCACAGGAGCCUGAUUGCCCUGCAGCAGCACCUCCACCCAUUGGGCGGGUAGGACCUACCCCUGAGCCCACCCCUGCCCAGAACCAGUGCCUGCAGGGGCAGGGAGGCAGCAGCUUUGUCCUGCUGCUGCUGGAGCCGCCUUUUGUCCUCUGUUUUGUUAUUGUGACAGAGUGGAGGUGGGGACGAUCAGGUUUUCAGUAGAAGGACCGAAGGAGCUGCCCACAACCCAGCCUUGGCUUCCAGCCUUUGAAGCCCCAGCAGCUCCUCAACUGGAGCAGUUCUGUGAGAUAACUUUGAUUCUCAGUAACAUAGGAAAUGAGCAAAAUAUCUCACUGGUAUCCAGCAACAUGAGCAUUAAGCUGCUGGAGUUCGUUGCCUAAUGGCUGCUGUUCCCCUACGCUCUGUGCCUCAGCUCCUGGCUGCCUUCCUGCCAUACCUGAGUGCUGUGAUGCUCAGCGCCCGUCCCGGCAGUGCUCUGAUUAUUGCUCACCUCCUUCCAGCCUGAGUCGCAUCAGUGAUGCCAGCCCUGUCCUUGGCCUGAUUUGCCGUUUGGUGUGGUGAAUCCUUCUGGGAACAGCCCUUGGGCUUUGGCUGGUGGGGAAGGAUGGGUGUGUGGGCAGAGCUGGCACACGCUCACUGCCCUGCGCCCACUGGAGCAAUGUCUGUAGCUGAAGGACUCUAAAGAGUCUGCAGGAGUGAUACAAGAGUCUGAAGUUGCUCGCUAUUAAUUAGUGGUUAAUAACCACAGCCCAUUUUAACUAAUCCUGAUGUACAAGGAAGCAACAAGGGCUCCUUCCCUGGAGGUAUCACAACCAAAUGGACAAGGUACUUGUAAGAAUUUUCUUCCUAAAUCUGUAUCUGCAGCUGAAGUAGACUGAGGUGACUCCGAAGAUGGCGUGGUUUUUUUCAGUGUGAUUGGUAAAUAGCUCUGACAGCUGUGCAUUGCGGAGCCCCUGCAGCUAUGUUAAUCGUGUGCACUUAAUGUACUUUCCUUGAAUAUUCAUAGCUGAAGUGCUCCCUAUUAGGUUGCCCUGUAAGGCUUCCCCCUCCCGCCCUCAAUACGCAACAGCCUCCAUCGUCUGCUGUCUCUUUUUGUUCUGAGAUAUGGAGCGUGUGCCAUCGUCUGACGUUUAAUUACUGCUGUUACUGACUGCUCAGCGUGCACAGGGUGCUGUGUUAGCUGCUGUGCUCCAGCCCUUAAAUGGGACACAGAAGGCUCUACACACCACUGAAAUGUAUGAAUUAAUGCAGGCGGUCUGCUGGCUGCCCGUGCUGGGGCAUCAUUUAACAUGGGAACCAUGGUCUUUCCUGGGAAAACUGAGCAAAACGUGUUUCUGCUGAAGGAUUAUUGCCCCGAUCCCAUUAUAAGGCUGGGAGUUGGUUUUCAGUGAGGCAUUGCAGGGAAAAAUGAUGAUCAAACAGAGCCUGGCAGAGGUGCUGUGCAUAGAGGUGCUGCUGCAGCCCAGCAGGUAGACUGGUGAGGUUCCACAGCUCCUUCCUGGCACUCUCAGGCACUGUAAAUGACACAGUGGGGUAGGAGGACACGAGUAACGUGAUAUUUGAAUUUAAAAAAAUACAUCUUGCAGCUUGGGUAAGGAUUGAGCAUAGCCUCUUUGACUGGGGGUUGGGACUAGGUGGUCUUUGAGGUCCCUUUCACCCCAAGCCGUUUUAUGAUUCUAUGAUAUGUUUGAAUAACUGCCCUUGGUUAUAAAUUGGAAAAACAGGUCUUUACUGCUGCAGUUUUGGGGUUUUCCUGUGCUGGGGGGCUUUCUGCCCCAACCUCUGUCUCUGCCCCCUAGGGAACCCUGUUGUACAGCAGCAGGCAGAGCUCUGAGGCAGAGAUGCUCCAACAACGGCACACGUGUCCAAAAAGGAUUCUGAACAUUAAUUUUUAACACGUGGCCUCUGCCCUGAUUUCUCUGUGCUGGUACAAACCUGUGGGUAUAAAUAGCUCCACUGACCCAAAUGGGUGUUUUUGGGCACAGCGACAGCACAGGCUCACAGCCUGCUAUUCCAGGUAGAUAUUUCUUUAGGCAUGACUUUGCAUCUGCAGAAUUCUUCCCUUAGAUGUUACGCUAAUAUUGGCCUUGGGAAGCAAACUUCUCCAAAGCAGACUUUAGGGACCGGUGCAUUUAUUGUUUGAAUAUUUAUUUCCCAAAGGUAUGCGUGGCUUAGAAACAUCCAGGAAAUGUUUUUUUCCUUCCUAAGUGGCCUUGUGCAGAAGUCACCUCUCUGUCUUUGGUGGCAGAGCUGGGGAGCCCCAAGUGCAGUGGGGAUGUGGCUCAGGGGGCACAGUGGAGGUGGGUCGGUUGGGCUGAUGAUCCUAG